rnacentral:lncRNA from 1 species
ACUGAACACCAAGCCAAUCUCGAUAAAGAAAGUAGGCUGACGGCCUUACCCUUUCGGGGUUCACUUUUAACAUAAGUUCCGCCACUAGGCGGAUGCCUUUACCGAGUCUGAAACUCCUAAACAAAAAAGGCCGGAAAAGUUCUUAUUCAAAUACUUUACGGUUCUUGUAGUUGAAGGUCUUAGUUUUGACUACACAAUGCCAUAGAGCCCGUGAUACCGUAUUCAAAUUUAACUUCCUUCCACACUUAGUCAGCACAAGGACGGGUUCAGAAGGCUUAAAGAUUUUAGAGAAAAUAGCGAAUGAGGAACUUUGUGGUCAAUAGAGAAGAUUAGAGCCGAAGUCCACCGGUUGCUCUUACCAUAAUAAAAUAGAGGCGCAAGUGGCAGGAUGGGAGAAUUUUCAUACAUCGGUUGGACUGUUAUCAUAGUCUAUAUUUGCCUUUGCAAUACUAAGUUCCUAACACUAACUCUCUAAGUCACUUGCCUUUCUACAUACUAAUUUCCUAACACAAAGUUCCUAAUUAGGAUAAACUACUACGUAUCAAGUCUCACCUGUUGGAGAGGGGACACAUGCAUAAUAACAAUAAUGAAAAGCCUUUCUCCCUCCAACUACUUGUUUAACUCCCAACUCCAUGUCGUUUCAUAAAUAACUGCUUGAUAACCUAUAAAGUCAAAUACCGAAAUCCUGCUUGUAAACAACCAAACUUUCUAGAGCACACCGUAUACAAGGCUAGAUCUCAAUCAUGUGCUGGAAAACAUAUUCCAGCAUGUACAUAGAGAACAUGCAAGCUCGUAGACUGUCCACCAUCCUCCCUUUACCUUGCAUGCAGGAGUUUAUGUGCAAUACUACAUAUGAGUCCUUUUAGAGGCACCUAUUUUGCCUGCAAUAACCUAGCUCCGGUAAAGCACCAUCAUGCUUGAUCGUUCUUUCAUUCAUUAGAAUUUGCAGAUCAUUUUGUUAUUUUGUUGAACUUCCCGCUCAAGAUUGUCAGUUAUAUCAACGAGAUAUAGCUGACGAUGAUUGGGAGAAGUCCCCGCUGCAACAUCUUCCUUCAACUAUCAUUUGUUGCUAGCAGGUUCUUCUUUAGCAUGUCGGAUGUUCUCUUGUGUGCAUGUCCCAUUCAAUAAGAAAAUUAUAGCAUAAAAUUCUGAGCAGUUAAAAAACAGAUUACGGCUUCAAGUUCUCAUAGUUGAGUUGUUGGCAGGUUCUCAUAGUUGAGUUGUUGACAGGUCUAUGUCCAAUAUGAUAGUAGCAAAGGAUAUUAUCUGCUACAUUGCCU